AGGACGAACGCUGGCGGCGUGCUUAACACAUGCAAGUCAAGGACCGUAGCAAUACGGAACUGGCGCACGGGUGCGGAACACGUAGGCAAUCUGCCCUUGAAGGGAGAACAACCAGUCGAAAGAUUGGCUAAAUCUCCGUAAAAUCAUAGAGUGGCAUCACUUAUUGAUCAAGUUUUUUCAAGGAUGAGCCUGCGUCUGAUUAGCUAGUUGGCGGGGUAACGGCCCACCAAGGCAACGAUCAGUAGCUGGUCUGAGAGGAUGAUCAGCCACAUUGGGACUGAGAUACGGCCCAGACUCCUACGGGAGGCAGCAGUGAGGAAUAUUGCUCAAUGGGGGAAACCCUGAAGCAGCAACGCCGCGUAAAGGAUGAAGGCGCUUUGCGUUGUAAACUUUUGUAGUCGGGGACAAAGUUGUGGGUUACUACCACUUGAUGGUAACCCGAAAGUAAGGAUCGGCUAACGUACGUGCCAGCAGCCGC
rnacentral:rRNA from 1 species